GACGAACGCUGGCGGCGUGCCUAAUACAUGCAAGUUGAGCGCUGAAGGCUGGUACUUGUACCAACUGGAUGAGCAGCGCACGGGUGAGUAACGCGUGGGGAAUCUGCCUUUGAGCGGGGGACAACAUUUGGAAACGAAUGCUAAUACCGCAUAAAAACUUUAAACACAAGUUUUAAGUUUGAAAGAUGCAAUUGCAUCACUCAAAGAUGAUCCCGCGUUGUAUUAGCUAGUUGGUGAGGUAAAGGCUCACCAAGGCGAUGAUACAUAGCCGACCUGAGAGGGUGAUCGGCCACAUUGGGACUGAGACACGGCCCAAACUCCUACGGGAGGCAGCAGUAGGGAAUCUUCGGCAAUGGACGAAAGUCUGACCGAGCAACGCCGCGUGAGUGAAGAAGGUUUUCGGAUCGUAAAACUCUGUUGGUAGAGAAGAACGUUGGUGAGAGUGGAAAGCUCAUCAAGUGACGGUAACUACCCAGAAAGGGACGGCUAACUACGUG
rnacentral:rRNA from 1 species